GACAAACGCUGGCGGCGUGCUUAACACAUGCAAGUCGAGCGGUAAGGCCCUUUCGGGGGUACACGAGCGGCGAACGGGUGAGUAACACGUGGGUGACCUGCCCUUAGCUCUGGGAUAAGCCUGGGAAACUGGGUCUAAUACCGGAUAUGACUCCAUAACGCAUGUUGUGGGGUGGAAAGCCUUGUGCGGCUAGGGAUGGGCCCGCGGCCUAUCAGCUUGUUGGUGGGGUGAUGGCCUACCAAGGCGACGACGGGUAGCCGGCCUGAGAGGGCGACCGGCCACACUGGGACUGAGACACGGCCCAGACUCCUACGGGAGGCAGCAGUGGGGAAUCUUGCGCAAUGGGCGAAAGCCUGACGCAGCGACGCCGCGUGGGGAUGAC
rnacentral:rRNA from 1 species